AGCGAACGCUGGCGGCAGGCCUAACACAUGCAAGUCGAACGGAUCCUUCGGGAUUAGUGGCGGACGGGUGAGUAACACGUGGGAACAUGCCCUUUGGUUCGGAAUAACUCAGGGAAACGUGUGCUAAUACCGGAUGUGCCCUUCGGGGGAAAGAUUUAUCGCCAUUGGAGGGGCCCGCGUCUGAUUAGCUAGUUGGUGAGGUAACGGCCCACCAAGGCGACGAUCAGUAGCUGGUCUGAGAGGAUGAUCAGCCACACUGGGACUGAGACACGGCCCAGACUCCUACGGGAGGCAGCAGUGGGGAAUCUUGCGAAAUGGGCGAAAGCCUGACGCAGCUAUGCCGCGUGAAUGAUGAAGGUCUUAGGGUUGUAAAAUUCUUUCAGCGGGGACGAUAAUGACGGUACCCGCAGAAGAAGCUCCGGCUAACUUCGUG
rnacentral:rRNA from 1 species